rfam:Schistosoma haematobium scaffold1310_32, whole genome shotgun sequence.
GCACUGCUGAAGAGUCUCACAAUAGAACGAAACGACUGUUCAGUGC